rnacentral:rRNA from 1 species
UAGGGAAUAUUGCACAAUGGAGGAAACUCUGAUGCAGCGACGCCGCGUGAGCGAUGAAGGCCUUCGGGUUGUAAAGCUCUGUCGUAUGGGAAUAAGAAAGUGAAUGUACCAUGCAAGAAAGGAUCGGCUAACUUCGUGCCAGCAGCCGCGGUAAGACGAGGGAUCCUAGCGUUGUUCGGAAUCAUUGGGCGUAAAGCGGAUGCAUGUGGCUUUGUAAGUCAGGUGUGAAAUCCCAGGGCUCAACCCUGGAAGUGCAUUUGAUACUGCGAAGCUUGAGUGCUGGAGAGGUAAGUAGAAUACCUGGUGUAGUGGUGAAAUACGUAGAUAUCAGGUGGAAUACCGGAGGCGAAGGCGGCUUACUGGCCAGACACUGACACUCAGAUCCGAAAGCGUGGGGAUCAAAACAGGAUUAGAUACCCACGUAGUCCC